ACAGAAAGCCGCUUUCGGUAUCAAAACCCUCAUCCAGACUGCGUUAUUCCCUAAGGCCCUACUUAAACACGAUAAUGCAUAUAUCAAGUCUAUAAUGUUAUACUAGUAUUCUGUUGAGAUCUGAGGCAAAGAGCACUCCAAUGACAAUUGCCCUGUUGAAAUAUUAACAUAUAGAACCGCUUUUGUAAAAACACCGAUCCUUAGUGCACACAGAAAUUAGUGUAACCUAGCUAGUAGGGCAAAUUUAUUAAAACUCGGGAUAUUCCAAAUAGAUAUGGAUGUAUCAGUGUUCUUGUACCUAAGUAUUGACUGAGGCUGAAGCAACUGGACAUCCACACACAUCCCUUACAGGUGAACGUUUUACUGUGUCAACAAUACAAAAUGGGAAAUAAUUGCAAGAAGAGCUGGUUACACCAACUUUCAUGAUAUUCCUUCUUAUGUAAUUUUCCAUCGAAUAUAUAUUUGGAUUUGAAACCUUUGUAGCAAUAUAUGUACAUUGUUAAUUAAAGAGAGGAUAUGUACGUCAAACAUUCUUUUACAAAUCGUCUACAAAUCAUGGUAAGCCAAUAUGCUACAAAGGUUUCAAAUCCAAAUAUAUAUUCGAUGGAAAAUUACCUGAGUUCGAAUAAAGAUCCGCCAUAUCUAAGAUAAGAAUAAGCGCUUAUCCAUUAGAGAUAGAAAGAGGUCGUUAUAAGAAGCUAUUUGUCCACGUUAGACUGUUUAAGUAUUGCAUACUGAAUGCAGUGGAAAAUGUCUUCACGACGAGACCGAAAGAAAGUUUAUUUCAAACUGUUGCCACAAUUUGUCCGAGCGUUUCCUAAUUGUAGAUCACCAAAAGUCUACGUUUCAUUAAAAUCACAAACCCCACCUAUUUCACAGAACACGGGACAGUUUAUAUAUAUAAAAGAUAGAGGAAGUCAAACCAAAUGACAGUUAGAUGAUUGACAGGAAGCGUGUGAACCUGACACCUUGCUAUUUUGCCGGUUAAUUGAAAACGUGACAAACCCUGAUUUCUCUGAUGACCCCGAUAACCCGAUGACCCCGGGGCAGAGAAAGCUGACACGGUCUGACGCAACGUCUGGUGGAUUCCCACGGCCAUAGUAUCUCAUUUCUGUUCCUUUUCAUUAACGGUAAUGUCUCCCUUCGAUGUGUCCGUUGUUUCCGAAGACAGACUUGGAAAUGCACUGGAAUUACUGAUUGUUGGCUACCUGCAUACGGCGGUGGCGACAUCCUCGGCGCAACCAAGGGCUUCAUCAUUUUGGAUAACACAAAGGCAUCCUUCCGUACGUUGCCCACAUCAUGCAGACCAACGCCAACAAUUUCUUGUACGACGUAUCAAGACGUUCCCGCCACCCCACCACCUCCGAGGAGCUUGUUGUAAUGCUGGACAUCGCUGGAUUUGCGACAACAACAACACAAGGAACCAUGUGACCUAUUUAGCACCGAGCUCCCCCUUUUCCGCUAUGGAAUAACCCAUGGUCGCUGGCCAAUGAGCUGCCUAGUAUUCAUAUUGCGUAAUGCAGAUGCAACGUAAACCAAGCUGAUUACGAGCACAGCAGUCAUUUCGCUGCCAGGCAGAGAGGAGACAACACGGGUUUGGGACCGGUCUCUGAUGAUUAAUAACGACUGCCCCCACGCACUGCACUUCGGGGCUCAUCAUAAAGAUGUCUAAGAAGUACAACUAUAAUACUUGCAGUGAAAAGGAAACAUCUCAUCAACAUGGACUUAUUGUUCUUUUCCUUAUCACUUUUAUUCUUCUUAUUCUUAUUCAAAAGCGAAUCAACAUAUUCGAAUAUUUUGAAUAUUUUGUUGGGCUUAAUAAGUGUUCAGGUACAGGUUGAUAUGUGUGUGUCUCUCUGAUCUCUCGAUCUCAGCACAGGUCGGGCAAGAGAGAUCCACACGAACUCCUACCGCCGCAAGGGACGUCGCUGAUGGCUUACACUGGAAGACGAGCUGUAUCACUGAAGGGAAGGACAUCCGUGUGCAAAUUGCUACAAGGGGACCGAGGCUGGGUGCCAUGCAAAACCAGAAACAAUGUUGCCCGAAGGAGCAAGGCCAUGAGAGGGAAAUGCCAGACCGGCAGCAGAGCCGCGUGCAGCCAAGCGAUUGCGCUGCUAUUGAAGGAAAAACUGACUGCAGUUAGAGAAUUCAUGGACUAACAUAUAUUUGCUGUCUGCGUUAUUUGACUUUUACGAUUACCUGUUGUCUAUUCUAUUAUGUCAUAUUAAGGAAUGUAAAAAAAUAAUUCAAUUGACCUAGACAACGACGGUCUAAAGGGUGGAUAUACGAAUGGUAGACAUCCCAACCAAAUGUAUAUGAAGUCUUUAUUGACACGACAAAAGUACAGCGACUUUCGUGAGGAUUAUAACAAGUACUUACAAUACAACUAAGCAGACGUAUAUGCAUAUUUACAGAUAUGAAUAAGUCAAUAUAUUAUUUCUAGCAUGCCAUUUACAUAAUUCGAACAUUGCCUGCAAAUUUCUUGAGUUACAAACAGACUUUUACCAAUCUAACGUUUUCGGGAGUUUCUCAACGCUACAAAUACACGUCCGUGCAGCCGUUUACUUUUUGGGUUGGAACUCGGAGUAAUACAUCAAUGGGACCUUACAAGUAUAUUGUGCAUACAAGCUGUAGCAGCCUUUCACUCCGUCACUUACAAGAAGAUACAACACAACGUUUGCUAGAUGUAUUAAUGUAAUGAUGUAUUAUUGUACUAUGAUUGUUAUUCUUAGACAGUUAUUCGUUUGAUGACGUAAACUGCAACAGACCGAGAUGUACAAGUAACCAAUGUUGAGUGAUAUGAGCGGAGUUGAGUAGAUGUCUGUCAGGUAAAACAGAAUACAAAGACGGGAGAUUUCUACGGCAGUUCGGGAGAGCAGACAUUUGUCUGGUACUAAGACAGAAUGUGAAGACAAGAGAGUGUAAGGUAAGAGACUUCAGUUCAGGAGAGACAAUAGAGGACUUCAGUUAAGGCCUGAGUGAGAUAGCAUUAUUAUGAAGUCUGUUAUAACGUUAAA